GCACUCCGCAGCAGCGCACUGAUCUGGCUCUGCAGCAGGUGAGCAGGCCAGCCAGAUCACUGGCGGUGACUGCGGUUCUGUUGGCUGCUGUAGCUGUGGAGCUCUUGUCUGGCCUGGCGGUGCCACUGCCGCGUUGGGUGGCGCCACACAGCUCCGAGAGCGCCUUCUGCCAGGGGCUCACACCCACGCUGUUCACCUUCUUCGACCUGGCCUGGCGGCUGCGCACGAACUUCCCCUACUUCUACAUGGUGGCUUCCGUGAUGUUCAGUGUCCGCCUGUAGGUGCGGAUCGAGUGAGCAGACCUGCCACCUCAGCGGACCCUCUGGCGGAAAGGGCCAUCCUCGCCACUGGUGCCAGGGGUCUGCAGGUCCAAGGAACCACAUCCCAUACUGCAAAACCCUUCACAGCCCAGUCCUUUUCCUCAGCAUCCGGAGAACCACCAGAGUCUGGCAAACCUGUUACCUCUCAUUGGCUGAAAGAGGGAGAGCCUAAAAGAAGGGGUGUUACCACAGCACUUGAUUUUCCAGGCCCUGUGCCUGAAGGGUUUUGGGCAGCCAUGGCAUCUUGGAGGGUCAGCUCAUCAUCAACACACAGACACGGAGCCCCUCCUCCCACCUUCCAGGCUUCCAGUCCCUUUUCUUCAGAGGCCUCAUGAGAUGUCACCUGAACCUUGACUGGGACUUGGUCUUCUAGGUAGUGGCUCACUCCUUCUCUGACCAUUUCAAGUCAGAUCCCCACCCAGAAGUUCCACUGUUCCUGUAGCAGUCUGUGGAGAGGCUGAGUGAAGAGCUGCCUAGAAGAGGAAGGGCCUUUCUGGUGGGACCCAGAGGGGUGGGGUGGCCCAGGUCUCCUGUUCCCUGCAUAGAAAAGAUGCCAGUGUACCUUGGCCACUGGUACCUCCUAGCAACACCGUGAGCUAGAUGUGUUCUCCAACCUAAUGAACUAGAUGGGGCUCAAGGAAGGGCCUUGGAUUUGCCCUAGUUACACAAAAGAGAAGGGAGGCUCAGCCUGUCCUGGACCUGUAUUCUCCUACCCCUCAGUAGUUUCUUUUUGACCUGGCAGGAUAUUAGGUUUGGGUGGGAGUAGAAAGUUUCCAAAGGUCCUACGGAGAAAGAGGAGACCAUGGGAUAAAGGAGCUGGGCAUCUGUACUUCCUUGCAGUGAUCUAGAAGACAGGUGAAUAGCCGAGUUCAUGAACAGAGAGGAAGGUUCAACAACUCCCAGAAAUGUCUAGUUCUCCCCAUAGAACCAAAUCUCACUAACUCUCUGGUGCUUGACCAAGGACUCCUGAGUAGUGUGUGGUAGUGGGCUGCAGUGAUGAUGUCAUUGUUGAUUAUAAGGUCACAAUGUCACUGGGAACCUGAGGAGAAGUGGGCUGACACCCAUGGUACGGACCUGUUUCUCUGUUCCCAGGUUUGAAAGUCCAUCCCUGGCAUCACAUGGGAAUUCUCAUCCAGAUAAGCUGAGGACAGCCUGUCCAGGAGGCCCAGUGUAGCCUAGAAAUUGUGGACUGUGGGCCCAGUGGUGUCAGUUUGGAGGGAAGCAAAACUAGGACUCAGCUUUGUGUUCCUGACCCAUGAUGGCUCUGAGUUGUCAGUGAGCUUCUGUUUUUCCUGUCCCCUUGACUGCUUUUGUUCCUCUGCCCUUGCUUUGAGAUGGGGUAGUGAAGCACUUGAUUUGCAGUCUGUAUUGCAGGCAGCAGAGCUUCAGUCAAUUCAGAGACUUGACCUGGCUGACCGUGUGUUGCCUUGUGUGAUGAACUUCACAUGGACAACAUUGUCUUCUAAGAGGUUCCGGAAUCAAGGUGUACAAUUCAAGUUGAACCUCAAGAUUAAAGGAAAAUGAAACAGCUCUCUGAAGGCACACUGUCAUCCCAGGACCUCUCUGCAGUAGUAAGGGGUAAAGUCCUCAUGGCCUUUUG